AACGUAGGAGACGAACGUUAUCCGGAGUUACUGGGCGUAAAGGGCGUGUAGGCGGUAUGUUAAGUCUGGCGUGAAAGCUCUCGGCUAAACCGGGAGAGGUCGUUGGAUACUGGCACACUAGAGGAUGGUAGAGGCGUGUGGAAUUCCGGGUGUAGUGGUGAAAUGCGUAGAGAUGUGGAGGAACACCGAUGGCGAAGGCAGCCUCCUGGGCUAGUACUGACGCUCAUGCACGAAAGCGUGGGGAGCAAACAGG
rnacentral:rRNA from 1 species